rnacentral:rRNA from 1 species
GAUGAACGCUGGCGGCGUGCCUAAUACAUGCAAGUCGAGCGAGCAGACGAGGAGCUUGCUCCUCUGAUGUUAGCGGCGGACGGGUGAGUAACACGUGGAUAACCUACCUAUAAGACUGGGAUAACUUCGGGAAACCGGAGCUAAUACCGGAUAACAUGUUGAACCGCAUGGUUCAACAGUGAAAGACGGUCUUGCUGUCACUUAUAGAUGGAUCCGCGCCGCAUUAGCUAGUUGGUAAGGUAACGGCUUACCAAGGCAACGAUGCGUAGCCGACCUGAGAGGGUGAUCGGCCACACUGGAACUGAGACACGGUCCAGACUCCUACGGGAGGCAGCAGUAGGGAAUCUUCCGCAAUGGGCGAAAGCCUGACGGAGCAACGCCGCGUGAGUGAAGAAGGUCUUCGGAUCGUAAAACUCUGUUAUUAGGGAAGAACAAAUGUGUAAGUAACUAUGCACGUCUUGACGGUACCUAAUCAGAAAGCCACGGCUAACUACGUG